GGAGAAGCAAAGUGAUGAGCAUUACUAGCUGGAGCCCCAAAGAGGCACGUGUGUGUGUGUGUGUGUGUGUGUGUGUAUCCUCGUCUGGGAGUGUGAGUGUGUGUGACUUGUUAUAGGGAACUAGUUAUGUGCCUUCUGUUGGACCAUGACAGUCAAACUGAUAAGAUCUGAUUGCUUC